AAUAAACCAAUUUUUCACUUUUUACUUAUAAUUUUUAACUAUUCGUCUUAUUUAAUUUUUUAUUAAUAUUUUUGUUUUUAUUAGAUGAUAAAUCAUAAAUAUUACUUUACGUGUGACUAUUUUUUUUCUAAUUUCUUAAAAAAUUUUCAAAUAAUACGGAUAGUCAAACGUUCGACACGGAGACCGAAG
rnacentral:pre_miRNA from 1 species